AGCUGCUCCACCGAAAGAAAAAGAGUGGCGAACGGGUGAGUAACACGUGGGUAACCUGCCCAUCAGAAGGGGAUAACACUUGGAAACAGGUGCUAAUACCGUAUAACACUAUUUUCCGCAUGGAAGAAAGUUGAAAGGCGCUUUUGCGUCACUGAUGGAUGGACCCGCGGUGCAUUAGCUAGUUGGUGAGGUAACGGCUCACCAAGGCAACGAUGCAUAGCCGACCUGAGAGGGUGAUCGGCCACACUGGGACUGAGACACGGCCCAGACUCCUACGGGAGGCAGCAGUAGGGAAUCUUCGGCAAUGGACGAAAGUCUGACCGAGCAACGCCGCGUGAGUGAAGAAGGUUUUCGGAUCGUAAAACUCUGUUGUUAGAGAAGAACAAGGAUGAGAGUAAAAUGUUCAUCCCUUGACGGUAUCUAACCAGAAAGCCACGGCUAACUACGUGCCAGCAGCCGCGGUAAUACGUAGGUGGCAAGCGUUGUCCGGAUUUAUUGGGCGUAAAGCGAGCGCAGGCGGUUUCUUAAGUCUGAUGUGAAAGCCCCCGGCUCAACCGGGGAGGGUCAUUGGAAACUGGGAG
rnacentral:rRNA from 1 species